rnacentral:snoRNA from 1 species
UGAUGUAAAUUCAUCACCAUCUUUCGGCUGA